rnacentral:rRNA from 1 species
AACGAACGCUGGCGGCAUGCCUAACACAUGCAAGUCGAACGAGACCUUCGGGUCUAGUGGCGCACGGGUGCGUAACGCGGGGGAACCUGCCCUUAGGUUCGGAAUAACUCCCCGAAAGGGGUGCUAAUACCGGAUAAUGUCUUCGGACCAAAGAUUUAUCGCCUUUGGAUGGGCCCGCGUUGGAUUAGCUAGUUGGUAGGGUAAAAGCCUACCAAGGCGACGAUCCAUAGCUGGUCUGAGAGGAUGAUCAGCCACACUGGGACUGAGACACGGCCCAGACUCCUACGGGAGGCAGCAGUGGGGAAUAUUGGACAAUGGGCGAAAGCCUGAUCCAGCAAUGCCGCGUGAGUGAUGAAGGCCUUAGGGUUGUAAAGCUCUUUUACCCGGGAUGAUAAUGACAGUACCGGGAGAAUAAGCCCCGGCUAACUACGUG